rnacentral:rRNA from 1 species
GGGUUGUGAGGUUAAGCGAAUAAGCGUACACGGUGGAUGCCUAGGCAAUCAGAGGCGAUGAAGGACGUGCUAAUCUGCGAAAAGCGUCGGUAAGGUGAUAUGAACCGUUAUACCCGACGAUAUCCGAAUGGGGAAACCCAGUAUCCAAUGGAUACUAUCAUUAACUGAAUCCAUAGGUUAAUGAGGCGAACCGGGAGAACUGAAACAUCUCAGUACCCCGAGGAAAAGAAAUCAACCGAGAUUCCCCUAGUAGCGGCGAGCGAACGGGGAGCAGCCCAGAGUCUUAAUCAAUAGCAGUGUCAGGAGAACGGUCUGGAAAGUCCGGCAGUAAAGGGUGAUAGCCCCGUAUCUGAAGAUGCUGUUAUUGUGAACUCGACGAGUAGGGCGGGACACGUGUUAUCCUGUCUGAAUAUGGGGGGACCAUCCUCCAAGGCUAAAUACUCCUGAUUGACCGAUAGUGAACCAGUACCGUGAGGGAAAGGCGAAAAGAACCCCGGCGAGGGGAGUGAAAAAGAACCUGAAACCGUGUACGUACAAGCAGUAGGAGCCUCUUUAUGGGGUGACUGCGUACCUUUUGUAUAAUGGGUCAGCGACUUAUAUUCUGUAGCGAGGUUAACCGUAUAGGGGAGCCGUAGGGAAACCGAGUCUUAACUGGGCGAAUGAGUUGCAGGGUAUAGACCCGAAACCCGGUGAUCUAUCCAUGGGCAGGUUGAAGGUUGGGUAACACUAACUGGAGGACCGAACCGACUAAUGUUGAAAAAUUAGCGGAUGACUUGUGGAUGGGGGUGAAAGGCCAAUCAAACCGGGAGAUAGCUGGUUCUCCCCGAAAGCUAUUUAGGUAGCGCCUCGUGAAUUCAUCUUCGGGGGUAGAGCACUGUUUCGACUAGGGGGUCAUCCCGACUUACCAACUCGAUGCAAACUGCGAAUACCGAAGAAUGUUAUCACGGGAGACACACGGCGGGUGCUAACGUCCGUCGUGAAGAGGGAAACAACCCAGACCGCCAGCUAAGGUCCCAAAGUCAUGGUUAAGUGGGAAACGAAGUGGGAAGGCUCAGACAGCCAGGAUGUUGGCUUAGAAGCAGCCAUCAUUUAAAGAAAGCGUAAUAGCUCACUGGUCGAGUCGGCCCGCGCGGAAGAUGUAACGGGGCUAAACCAUGCACCGAAGCUGCGGCAGCGACACAAAGUGUUGUUGGGUAGGGGAGCGUUCUGUAAGCCUGCGAAGGUGUACUGUGAGGUAUGCUGGAGGUAUCAGAAGUGCGAAUGCUGACAUAAGUAACGAUAAUGCGGGUGAAAAACCCGCACGCCGGAAGACCAAGGGUUCCUGUCCAACGUUAAUCGGGGCAGGGUGAGUCGACCCCUAAGGCGAGGCUGAAAAGCGUAGUCGAUGGGAAACGGGUUAAUAUUCCCGUACUGGUGGUAACUGCGAUGGGGGAACGGAGAAGGCUAGGUUGUCCGGGCGACGGUCGUCCCGGUUCAAGCAGGUAGGCAGAGUGAUUAGGCAAAUCCGGUCACUUAAUGCUGAGAUGUGAUGACGAACCACCAAGGUGGUGAAGCAAUUGAUGCCCCGCUUCCAGGAAAAGCCUCUAAGCUUCAGGUUACCAACAAUCGUACCCCAAACCGACACAGGUGGUCAGGUAGAGAAUACUCAGGCGCUUGAGAGAACUCGGGUGAAGGAACUAGGCAAAAUGGUGCCGUAACUUCGGGAGAAGGCACGCUGGCGGUAGGUAAAGUCCCUCGCGGACAGAGCUGAAGCCAGUCGAAGAUACCAGCUGGCUGCAACUGUUUAUUAAAAACACAGCACUGUGCAAACACGAAAGUGGACGUAUACGGUGUGACGCCUGCCCGGUGCUGGAAGGUUAAUUGAUGGGGUCAGCCGUAAGGCGAAGCUCCUGAUCGAAGCCCCAGUAAACGGCGGCCGUAACUAUAACGGUCCUAAGGUAGCGAAAUUCCUUGUCGGGUAAGUUCCGACCUGCACGAAUGGCGUAAUGAUGGCCAGGCUGUCUCCACCCGAGACUCAGUGAAAUUGAACUCGCUGUGAAGAUGCAGUGUACCCGCGGCAAGACGGAAAGACCCCGUGAACCUUUACUAUAGCUUGACACUGAACAUUGAGCCUUGAUGUGUAGGAUAGGUGGGAGGCUUUGAAGUGUGGACGCCAGUCUGCAUGGAGCCAACCUUGAAAUACCACCCUUUAACGUUUGAUGUUCUAACCUAGGCCCAUAAACUGGGUCGGGGACCGUGUCUGGUGGGUAGUUUGACUGGGGCGGUCUCCUCCUAAAGAGUAACGGAGGAGCACGAAGGUUGGCUAAGCAUGGUCGGACAUCAUGCGGUUAGUGCAAAGGCAUAAGCCAGCUUGACUGCGAGAGUGACGGCUCGAGCAGGUACGAAAGUAGGUCUUAGUGAUCCGGUGGUUCUGAAUGGAAGGGCCAUCGCUCAACGGAUAAAAGGUACUCCGGGGAUAACAGGCUGAUACCGCCCAAGAGUUCAUAUCGACGGCGGUGUUUGGCACCUCGAUGUCGGCUCAUCACAUCCUGGGGCUGAAGUAGGUCCCAAGGGUAUGGCUGUUCGCCAUUUAAAGUGGUACGCGAGCUGGGUUUAGAACGUCGUGAGACAGUUCGGUCCCUAUCUGCCGUGGGCGUUGGAAGAUUGAGAGGGGUUGCUCCUAGUACGAGAGGACCGGAGUGAACGCACCACUGGUGUUCGGGUUGUCAUGCCAAUGGCAUUGCCCGGUAGCUAAGUGCGGAAGAGAUAACCGCUGAAAGCAUCUAAGCGGGAAACUUGCCUCGAGAUGAGUCUUCCCUGUCACUUUAAGUGACCUAAAGGAACGUUUAAGACUAAGACGUUGAUAGGCUGGGUGUGUAAGCGUAGCGAUACGUUGAGCUAACCAGUACUAAUGAACCGUGAGGCUUAACCUGACAACACCGAAAGUGUUUUG